UACGGAGGGGGCUAGCGUUGUUCGGAAUUACUGGGCGUAAAGCGCACGUAGGCGGCUUUGUAAGUUAGAGGUGAAAGCCCAGGGCUUAACCCUGGAAUUGCCUUUAAGACUGCAUCGCUAGAAUCGUGGAGAGGUGAGUGGAAUUCCGAGUGUAGAGGUGAAAUUCGUAGAUAUUCGGAAGAACACCAGUGGCGAAGGCGACUCACUGGACACGUAUUGACGCUGAGGUGCGAAAGCGUGGGGGAGCAAAC
rnacentral:rRNA from 1 species